CACAGAUGGAGGCGGACGCGCAGCCCGGGUUAAAAGACGCAGCAAAUCCUGCGUGGUGCUUCCUAGGAUCGGGGGGGCAGCUGCUGCUGGCUGUGAGUGCCCUUGCAGUUCAGCUGGAACCAGGACAUGUUGGUUCCAUUGCUGCACUGUUAGAUUCUCCCUCUUCAAGUCAAGGGGAGAGCUUCUCACCAGCUGCUCAGCCUCAUCUACCACAGCCAGCAAGGUAUUGGGGACAUCGAAGGACAUGUCCCUUGUCUGCUCCAGGGUGGCCUCAAUGGCCCUGAGCUGGCAGUGCAGCUCCCAGGAGAACACAGUGGCUUUGUGACACGCGGCCACCAAGUCCCCCAGGAGCCCCAGGGCCUCCUCCGCCUGCUGUUUCCUCUUGGUGGCUGCCAUCCCUCGGAUGGUGAACACCACAGCCUCUCUCCUGGCCAUGGUGGCCAUCUGUUGCCAUCUUACUGCAAAGGUUUUGUACCUUCUUGGUGAUCCCUCAUGGGCAGCUCCUCACAGCAUUGACUCCUUCUUCUCAGUACAGCCAACAAACUCCAUCUAACUUCUCGAGCAGCUAACCUACUCUUUUACAAUUCCCAUCCUAAUUGGAUCUAGUGGCCUAUUAAGGGCAGGCCUGUUCCUAAUGCUUGAUAAUUUGCACAGCUGUAGCUCCUUAGGAGUGAGAUUACCUUCAUCACUGUUAUAAAUAAAAAAUGCGAAUUAGCCAAUUUUAAUAAAAAUAUGAGAAAUAAAAUUUAUUUCACGACCAUAAAAACAGUCUCGACAGCCACCACCGAAACGGCCAGCAUAUCACCCCCGGGAAGUGAUACGGGUGAACGUGAGGAAAGGACCAACUGGUACCUAGAGCUCCCCAUCCACACCUACUGCUUGCAAGGGGCAGCUGCUGCUGGCUGUGAGUGCCCUUGCAGUUCAGCUGGAACCAGGACAUGUUGGUUCCCUUGCUGGUUCCAUUGCUGCACUGUUAGAUUCUCCCUCUUCAAGUCAAGGGGAGAGCUUCUCACCAGCUGCUCAGCCUCAUCUACCGCAGCCAGCAAGGGUUUUUUUCAAGAUUUGGUGAGGGGCUUCCUCAUUUGCAUACUAGCUCUGACGUCGCCUCCCCACCACUACCUGCAGCCUUCAGGUGCCAAUCCUCUGGGAAGCCGCAGGGGGACAAUUGGGCUGAUUUCUAACCAUUAACAGGUAACUGAAGAAAAAUUAUUAACAACAGGUGAUUACAACAUGAAGUUAUUAACAACAGCAAUUGGUUUAACUUGUUAACUCUACAACUUAAAAAAAGGGACAACUUUUCUACUCAUAACAUCUCAUCAGUAGAGGAAGUGAUCCCUGAUAGCAAAUCAAACAAUAGUUGCAUCUGAUGAUUGGUUAUGCCUAAAUAUGAUUGAGUCCAACCUAUUGAACCAACCAAUUUCUGUACAUCAGUAACAGUUUUAACACCAAUGUCUAAUUUCACAGGUUGAGGCAUAACUUGAGUCACCAACAUCCCUAGAUAUUUCCAAGGCAUGUAUUCCUGUACUUUCUCUGAGGCAAUGAUCAGACCAAAGGCUUUCAAAUUUGUAACAGCACAUUGUUUAAGAGCUGAUAACUGUUUGUUGUUCAGAUGCCAACAAGAUAUCAUGCAUCUAAUGAUAACAAUAGCAGUUAUUAUAAUUGCUCCUGCACUUUUGACAAGGCCUGUGCCCACGUACCAUUGACAAAUAGUUGUAGAGUUUUUCAGGCCUUGGGGGAGUACCCUCCAUUGAUAUCUUUUGUUGGGUUCAGCAUGAUUUGUGGAAGGCACAGUAAAAGCAAAAACAAUUUCUUUGUCUUGCACAGCCAGUGGAAUAGUAAAGAAACAAUCUUUCAAAUCAAUGACAGCUAUUUGCCAUUCCUGUGGAAUCAUUGUAGGUGUAGGAAGGCCUGGUUGUAAAGCUCCCAUUGUUGCCAUUACAGCCUUUGUCUGCUGUAAAUCAUGUAAAACUCUCCAUUUUCCUGAUUUCUUUUUUAUUACAAAACCAGGGGUAUUCCAGGGGCUGAAUUAUUCUUCAGUAUGUCCUGCUUGCAAUUGUUCUGUGACUAAUUCUUGCAGGGAUGUAAGCUUUUUGGUAGUAAGGGGCCACUGGUCAACCCAGACAGGUUUAUCUGUCAACUGUGUCAAGGCUACAACUGGAUGUUCACCGCCCUGCAUCACAGUGGCCCCUAUUAAAAAUCCGUAGUAAUUUUGACACCUCAUUGAGGUAAGCAAUCUCGUCCCCACAAUCUUUGAGGAGCAUCAGCAACGUGGGGUCUGAUGUUAACUUGUUGGUGACACGAUCCGUCCUAAGGACGUGAUUCGUGAAGGUUCUUUUUCUCUAAUCUCAAUGUUCAAAACCUGACACGACAAGGCGAUUUUGCAGUAAAAUCAAAACAGAUAUACUUUUAUUGAAUAGCCACAGCAAAGACGCGUUAGAGAGAAGGGGAAUGAAGAAAAGGGAAAGAAUAAGGAAAAGAAAAGAAGAGAGGAAAGGCAAGGCGGUGUAUAGCUACCAGACGUGUAGAUGACAAAGUCCCUCAAAGUCCGGUCGACGAAGAGCCUGUCGUCUUCAUGUCAGGGGAGAUCUCCAGGGUAUCAGUCAGCUCUAACCUCUUUUAUAGUCCUUUUGAAUGGGGCAAGGGGACACAUUUCAAAAUAGUCUAUUGAGAAAGGGUACAAAAAGUCUAUCAGUAGUCCGUCAGCAGCAGGCGUCGUACAAAAAGUCCAUCAGCAGUAGGCAAGAACCAUUGUAUUCUCGGUCCAGUGGUCGCUUGCAAAACUUGCUUUGGUCCCCAUGCACGCCUUCCCUCACCCUACAGUAGGGAUUUCAGUCUCAAUCCUUUUGGGAAGAAGAGGGGGCUUUUCCAUGUAGGGGUCGCAUGUCUCAGUCCUUGAGGGGAGAACCUUCUCCCAUCUCAGUCCAUCUGUCACGGUGGUUGAUGUACAGUGAAUGGAGGGUCUUUUAGUGGUGACCACCAAGAAGGUCAUUCCAGAGAGAAAGUCCAGCCAAGUCAGAAGGGUGGAGAAAUUCCAGGACUAGCGUUGCUAGGUGAUGCAGGCGAAGGAGAGCACACUGCCCCUUCUUGGGUGCAGUGUUCCAUGAGUUGAGCAAACACACCCAUAGACAAUAAUUUGGCUUGGUGGACCAGUCAGACCUGGAUUUUCAGAACAGGAUCUUUUCCUUUCCCCGGUGGUCUUGGCUUUCAUGAUGGUCGAGAGGCAAAAAAUGAGGGAAGUUUCGGACAGACACUCACAGUUGGCCAUCAGGAUGUUUCACAUUAAUUACAAUGGCUGACAAGCCACCUGUUGUAGCACCACCCAACCCUAUAAGUCCAAAAUAUGCAUGAGUGAGAGGCCACGAUUGAGGCCAACAAAGUCGCGACAGUAUUGUAACAUCUGCUCCAGUGUCAAUCAAACCUGUUACUGAUAUGGUUCUUGGAUGAUAUCCACUGGCUGUGAGGAUGCAUGUCUUUUCCAGAUGGUUUUCUGUUACUUUCUCAGUCCAGAACACUUGAGGUACCCCUGUUGAUCCAAAACUUCCUGUGCCACGACUUUGGUCCACUGUAUUUGGAACAGAACCCACAAAAGCUAUAGCAUUUUGAUGGAGGUCUUAGAACUGCAGCAAGAGCUGCCAUGUUAUGCUCUACUGAAUCAACUUUUGAGCAAGCAGUUACCAUUUCAGACAAUGUGGGCUCCCCAGAUGUUCAUCCCUUAAAAAGCCCAGCAGAGCCGCAUCAGAAGACUGCGCCAACCUAUGGAGUCUUCUCGCCUGUAUGCUUGGAAUAAGCACCACCGAUUUGAUGAUACCCAGACCACCAUCCUUAAAACUCGAAUACAAGAUGGCAUCACAUGUACUCAGUGGAAGAUGAAGCCAUUCCUUGACCGCCUUACGAAUCAACAGGUCAAGGGAUUCCAGAAGGCCCACGCUCACCUCGUAAUCAGGCCUUCAAAUACGAUGUUAUCUGUCUCCGCAUGCGGAGGGAAAUUCGCCAAGCUACCAAACUCUCCAGUUGUAUCCCAUUGUAUCUUAAAGUGAUCGUGGACAACCCCAGAUGGUAACUGGAACCACACAGUUUCCGUACUGUCCAGAAUAAUAGGUGCCAGAUGCCUUCUAUGCAACUCGUACAACACCUGAAAACUGAGAAAUUUCCCUCUUUUUACCGCCCUUUUACGCAUCCAAUUAGUUGCUGUUUUGGAUGCACUCCGACCACGAACCAUCUGCCUUUUUCAACCCCUGCUAGAUCUCAUAUUUUGGCCUGGCACACCCAGGCUAUUUCGAAACUCAUCAAAACCCUCAUUCACCAGCUUUGGCAGAUUUUGACCCUUCAAUGCCUUCUUGAAGACUUCAUGAUACCUGGCAAAUAUGCCAGGCAAUAAACCAGUUUUGAUGGCAUCACGGUAA